rnacentral:rRNA from 1 species
ACGCUCGACACCUACGGGAGGCAGCAGUCGGGAAUAUUGCGCAAUGGAGGAAACUCUGACGCAGUGACGCCGCGUAUAGGAAGAAGGUUUUCGGAUUGUAAACUAUUGUCGUUAGGGAAGAAAAAAGACAGUACCUAAGGAGGAAGCUCCGGCUAACUACGUACCAGCAGCCGCGGUAAUCUGAGCGGGCUGGCAAGGC